rnacentral:rRNA from 2 species
GUCUUAUUGAUAUUAAAUAAUAAGUUUGUUCUGCCCAUUGAAAAAAAUAAUUUAAAAGGCUGCAGUAUAUUAACUGUACAAAGGUAGCAAAAUCAAUAGUUUUUUAAUUGAAAACUGGAAUGAAAGAAUUGAUAAAAUAUAAACUGUCUCAAAUUAAAUUUAUUUUAAUUUAAAUAAAAAGUUAAAAUGCUUUUAUAAAUUUAUUAGACGAUAAGACCCUAAGAAUUUGAAAAUUUUAAUUUUAUUAAAUGGAAUUUAUGAUAUAUAAAUUAAUAUUUUAAUAUUUUUUUAUUGGGAGGGUAAUUAAAUUUUAAAACUUUAAUUAAAUAAAAACAUUGAUAAUUGAAUGGAUUAAUUUAUGAUAAUUAUUAUAAUUAUGAGAAUAAAUUACCUUAGGGAUAACAGCGUAAUAAUUUUGGAGAGUUCAUAUUAAUAAAAUUGAUUGCGACCUCGAUGUUGAAUUAAAAUAAAAGUUAAGUGAAGAAGCUUAAGAUUUUAGUCUGUUCGACUAUUAAAAUUUUACA